rnacentral:rRNA from 1 species
GACGAACGCUGGCGGCGUGCUUAACACAUGCAAGUCGAACGAAGUGGCGAACGGGUGAGUAAUACGUGGGUAACCUGCCCUCCUUUUUGGGAUAAGCCUUGGAAACGGGGUCUAAUACCGAAUAAAGGGGGAUGGACUCGGGUCCUAUCAGCUUGGUGGUGUGGUGAUGGCCUACCAAGGCGGUGACGGGUAGCCGGCCUGAGAGGGGGCACGGCGACAGUGGGACUGAGCUAAGGCCCAGACGCUUACGGGAUGCAGCAGUGUGGGAUAUGGCACAAUGGGCGAAAGCCUGAUGCCGCGACGCCGCGUGGGGGCUGCAGGCUUUCGGGUUGUAAACCUCUUUAGCUAUCGAACGGGUAGCUGGAGAAGAAGCGCCGGCUAACUACGUGCCAGCCGCCGCGGUAAUAC